ACACGUGGGUAACCUACCUGUAAGACUGGGAUAACUCCGGGAAACCGGAGCUAAUACCGGAUAGUUCCUUGAACCGCAUGGUUCAAGGAUGAAAGACGGUUUCGGCUGUCACUUACAGAUGGACCCGCGGCGCAUUAGCUAGUUGGUGAGGUAACGGCUCACCAAGGCGACGAUGCGUAGCCGACCUGAGAGGGUGAUCGGCCACACUGGGACUGAGACACGGCCCAGACUCCUACGGGAGGCAGCAGUAGGGAAUCUUCCGCAAUGGACGAAAGUCUGACGGAGCAACGCCGCGUGAGUGAUGAAGGUUUUCGGAUCGUAAAGCUCUGUUGUUAGGGAAGAACAAGUGCAAGAGUAACUGCUUGCACCUUGACGGUACCUAACCAGAAAGCCACGGCUAACUACGUGCCAGCAGCCGCGGUAAUACGUAGGUGGCAAGCGUUGUCCGGAAUUAUUGGGCGUAAAGGGCUCGCAGGCGGUUUCUUAAGUCUGAUGUGAAAGCCCCCGGCUCAACCGGGGAGGGUCAUUGGAAACUGGGAAACUUGAGUGCAGAAGAGGAGAGUGGAAUUCCACGUGUAGCGGUGAAAUGCGUAUAGAUGUGGAGGAACACCAGUGGCGAAGGCGACUCUCUGGUCUGUAACUGACGCUGAGGAGCGAA
rnacentral:rRNA from 1 species